AAUGAACGCUGGCGGCAUGGAUUAGGCAUGCAAGUCGAACGGGACACUUUCGGGUGUCUAGUGGCGAAAGGGUGAGUAACACGUGAGCAACCUGCCCCCCAGUUCCGAAUAAGCAGUGGAAACGCUGUCUAAUGCGGGAUGUGGAGCACUGGUCUCCUGACUGGUGCUGCAAAGAUUUUAUCGCUUGGGGAUGGGCUCGCGUCCCAUUAGCUUGUUGGCGGGGUAAUGGCCCACCAAGGCUCCGACGGGUAGGUGGACUGAGAGGUUGGUCACCCACACUGGGGCUGAGACACUGCCCAGACUCCUACGGGAGGCUGCAGUCGAGAAUCUUCCGCAAUGGGCGCAAGCCUGACGGAGCGAUGCCGCGUGAGGGAAGAAUGCCUUCGGGUUGUAAACCUCUGUCGCCUGGGACGAACACUGACGGUACCAGGAGAGGAAGUCACGGCUAACUACGUGCCAGCAGCCGCGGUAUCAUACUCGUA
rnacentral:rRNA from 1 species